rnacentral:misc_RNA from 1 species
GUUGGAGGAACUGAGCCUGAGAAUUGUUUUGACCCUGGCUUUCCUGAAUACUCUGAAGGACGGCAUGCUGGGAUUGAGGUGGCAGAUGCUGCAGCAAUUGAUUUGUCAACAGAGGAGCAGCUCUGUUGUUCAUGUUCUCAGGUGACUGAAAUUGCAACAUUGCUGGACUAGCCUGUUUUUCAGCAUCCGCUGCCCUCAUCUCCUGAAGUGCUGCUG